GACGAACGCUGGCGGCGUGCUUAACACAUGCAAGUCGAACGCUGAAGCUCAGCUUUUGUUGGGUGGAUGAGUGGCGAACGGGUGAGUAACACGUGAGUAACCUGCCCCCUUCUUUGGGAUAACGCCCGGAAACGGAUGCUAAUACUGGAUAUUCACUGGUCUUCGCAUGGGGGUUGGUGGAAAGGGUUUUUCUGGUGGGGGAUGGGCUCGCGGCCUAUCAGCUUGUUGGUGGGGUGAUGGCCUACCAAGGCUUUGACGGGUAGCCGGCCUGAGAGGGUGACCGGUCACAUUGGGACUGAGAUACGGCCCAGACUCCUACGGGAGGCAGCAGUGGGGAAUAUUGCACAAUGGGCGAAAGCCUGAUGCAGCGACGCCGCGUGAGGGAUGGAGGCCUUCGGGUUGUGAACCUCUUUCGCUCAUGGUCAAGCCGCAACAAUGGUUGUGGUGAGGGUAGUGGGUAAAGAAGCGCCGGCUAACUACGUG
rnacentral:rRNA from 1 species